UAUUAUAUAUCAUGCAAACAACAGUUAGUUUUUUGCAUGAUAACAACACAAAAUGUUUCAUAAAAAUAUUUAAUAAUGUAAAUCAUAUAACACAGAUAAAGUAAAUUAUUUUCUACACUUUUAUCAUUUCUAAAAUUAUAAUAGAACUAUAUUUUUUUUAUUUUAACUAUUCUUAUUUGUAUUUUGCAAUGUUUUGUAUAAUAUUUCUUUCUAUAUAGCAGAAAGUUUUGACAUAUUCUUCAAAGAAACUCGCAUGAUAAUUGACUGGCUAAUCAACGCAAUCGUACGUAUAUAUUUUGCUAUCCGUUUUUCACAUCUAAAUACAUUUAACUGCAGAAUAAUUUAAGAAGAAUGGAACUUUCGUCUUUUUCUAUGCCAAAGCAAUCAUAUUUGUGCCCGGCGAAGUAUGAUUCAGUAUUCCGCAAUAUAGAUACUAAUGAGCAAGUUAUUCAUGAAUCAGCUAUGCCUAAUCUUAAAGUUAAACAAAUGCUGAUAUAAUAUAUGUAUAAAGCUUAUAAACGCAUAAAAUAUCUACGAAUAAAAAAAAUUUUAUUAGAAAUUAUUUAAAUAAAAGCAUUACAUAAAAAAUUCGUAAUAAAAAUAAUGGAAAACUGAUAUUAUCUCUUCUCAAAGAUAUCGUAUUAGAAUUUGUAUAUUUAUACCGAAUAAGGCUCUUCUUCAGAAUUCAUUUAUUAGCCGGCCAUGACCGACUCAAUUCAGAUUCCGGUAUUCACGUGCGAACAUUUACAGGCAAAAAUUUAUAGAUCCGACGACGAGGCCGGGUAUCCCUGCCUCUCGCAAAGUCUUUCAUCUUGCCGGCAGAAGGCGCCGCCAUCGUAGACCUCGCUGAUAAACAGCUCAGGCUACAUACCACAAAGAGACGCGAGCCGCCGCGACGACGCAAACAGAUUACUCCCGCGCGCAUUUCUCACGUGCAUUUCCGCGCGUUACGUUACCGCUGUCAACGAGAGCCCGACGCGCUUGAAGAACUCGAUUUUCGGUAAAUCUCGUAAUAUUCGACAAUCGGGGACGAGGGAAAAUAGGAAGAAAUUAGAACGCAUUUCGUGUCGCAGCCGCAGCAGCAGUAGUAGAGAACAGCAGCAACAGCAGGAAUCAUUCGAUUCGCUACGAAGCGAAUAGUGAGUACACGAUGACGGUGACCCUGCGGAUUGACAUCGAUCAGCGAAACUACAGCUGAUCCAUCCAGAAGAACUGCUCGAUUGUUCAUGAAAAGAGACGAGGAUAGAGCGAGAUAGGUAGAGAAGUCGCGAACAGUAAAUUACGAGACGAGGAAGACGAUAAUGCGUUGAUCCAAUAGCUGAUGAAGAAGAUUCGCUUGUUGGAACGAUGAACCAUAAUCUUACAACGAAAACUUUACACAAUAAAGUCUUGAGUUAUAACAAACUUUCUUCAUCGAGUCGGUGCAGAAGAGGAUUGACGCGCAAAUCGAAAAACAAUCGAGAAAAAACGUCUACAGGAAACAACGCUUGAUUUCCUCUAUAAACAGAGCGCGUGCGAGAAGAGCUCUAAUAGAGAAAUAACAUCCUCGAGAGGCAUUCUUUGAGAGACCGGCACGUGGCAGCGCUGACGACGACAGACACAUCGGCACCGCAUUGGUGACGUUUAUUAGGAGAAACACGCGCGGUACAAAAGAAACGAAAUCCUCCUUCUUACAUACAAGCGCGCGGAAGGAGGAACUCUCGAGGUCGCGACGCACGAAAAGCCACACGAUAUCAGAGAUAACGUUUUGAAACUAAUUAAUCCGCGCGACAAACAGACUCGUCGCUCUUGCAGUGGUGUGUCUGUCGGGAAGACGCUGGCAGUCAUCGUCGUUGAUUGCCAGUCGCGAACUACGCCAAUUUGCAAAUUAUUAUAACACCGCGUCAUCGAACAGUUCCGUCCUAAAGUAGAGUCUGAUCUCCGUAGGUGACCGGAGGAUUUGCUUGCAUCCUCGGCAGCGAGACGCACGAUUCGUACAAUACACACUGUAAUAACGUUAAGACUAAUGCAUCUUUGACGAUCAAAUGACGUCAUAACUGAUAACUAGCACAAAUAAGAUACUUGAAGUUGCUCUUCUCUUGAAUUUGCAACGACUGCGACCAGAAGAUAAAUUAGACGCAGAGGACAUCUUUGUGAGAUAAAUUGGAAGGCUCUAUCACGGUCAGCACAAAACUGCAGCUAGCUAAUAAUCAGAAAUUUAAUUAAUCCAACAAGAAGGAUCUCUGGUACAUUGAAAUUCUCAGGUGACGAUUACGGAUUCUCGCAAAACAACGAGACAAUGCUCGAGAAUAAAAGAAUCGCGUCUCGUUGAUCAGCACUGAGUGGUUCCAAUUGAGAGUCGACCCUCGAGAGCGGAGCCUAUUGGUCAAGCUGUUAAUUUCUUGAAGCACGAUUGGAUUGGAUCACCCGCGGACAUUCUAACAUUCACGUCAAGUAAUCCGCCGACUACGGUCUUGCCAGCCGGACUUUACUUCUCUUCCUGAAAAAACUGCUAGAUCCUGCGUCUAGCUAAGACCAUUGACGAAAGCUUCAGGAUACGAAGGAUUAAUUGCCUAUGGAUUUUCAGUGAAUACUCAUCAAAGAAUAUAUCAAUCAAUUUAUUCGGAAAACGUAUCUCGAAGAGAAAUAUCUGCUGAAACCGAAACAGUGACAUCAGCAAAUUAUCUUCGCGACAGUGUCAAAGUUGCAACGAAAUUACACUCAUUAAUACAAGAAGAUUACGGUGCUUUCUCGUUGUCGAUAUCACUUUGAAGACUGCGCAGGAAAUAUUUUGAUAACAUACAACACUCUCGACGACUGAAUGGCUCGCUUUUAUUGGCUGUUGCUUUUCGAAAGACUCUACUAACGUCUUUUCGUAUAGUAACGGCGGAGGCGAUUUGCAAGAAGGAAAGGGAAGAACGUAUCGUGGAAAGGGUUAGGUACCCUUUGGUCCCGCUGAGAGAGCCUUCGUCUCGCAGAAGGAACCAAACUCUUUUUCGCCGCCGUGAAGAUUUUGGGAAACGCGGCGGACGAAACUCGAGAUUCUAUUGACGUCAUCCACGAAAAGCCUCGUUCACCCCCUCCUGGAUCGGUUUCUUUUUUUAGACGCCACCAUGGAGCGAAGGAUUCUGAAAAUGUGGUGAUAACGGUCAGGCGAAGGCCUCCGCUACCCAAGACACUAUCCAGUGUGUGAGCCAUAGUCGUUAGAAAGAGAUAUACUGACGUGACGCCGAGCCUAAACAGGCAUUUCGGAGAUCCGGCCAAUUGGAAUCUUUCGAGCAACAUCCCUUUCGAAAGGAUUAUUCUCGUCUUCGAAUCGCCGUUUCUCUGUGAAUAAAAUUUUACAAUUUUAAUCGCAGUCUAGUCCUUAGCUCGGCUUCAAGAGAAAGUGCAAGUUUCGACAAUUUAUUCCGUUCUUCCGCAAUUGCGAGAUCUUGAUAAGAUAAUCGAGAUAUCGUCUGCAUCCCGAGGAAUAUUUUUGGACCUGUGGAACUGACAUUUCUUUUUUUCCGUUCUUCGCAACGAAGACGAUACCUUUCUCGAGCGAUUUUUAUGUGAGGAGAACGAGACACCAGGGUGAAAGCAUCGAUCGCUAAAACGUGGAAGA